UACCUUCCCAGGUGGCUGUGCAGAAGCACGCACCAGCACCAGCCCCGCCACCCCCACCCGCUCGCUUUCAAAGGUGGGCUCUUCUGCCACAUUGGCCUGAGGAGUCCGUGCUCACAGUGAGCAGCGCCCCGGUGAAUCUCAACAACCUGCAGCAGAAGCUGUUCUAUCAAUACAGCCUCUCCCAUUCCCCUGGUAGACCCCUUGGUGACCCCUUUCUCAUCCCUGUUAACCUCUAAGGUCAUCCUUAGAGUCAACUCCCUAAUCCUAGGAGCACACAUCUCCCAGAAGCCCCUAACAGCUGCUUUCGUGGCCUCUGAGCCCCGUUUCCUGGGCAAUCUCCCCCAGAGCAGCCUUUCCUCAGAGGGCACGCUCCACACCCAAAGCUGCAGCAACCCCUGGAUUUUGGGGGGCUUUACUUCCUCACGACCACUCUUUUCCUCUGCUCUUGCAAGUGGGAUCCAGUGGCCAUGUCCAGUCCCU
rnacentral:lncRNA from 10 species